AUAAUCUCGAUAAGAUAGAGAAAGAAAAAAAUGAAUAUAAAUUAUAUAUAAGUAAUUUAAUCCCAACUUGUGAUAAAAAAAAGCAUUAUCAAAUUUUAAUCAAUUUUUAUUAAUCAUGCUUUUCAUUUGUUUACUUUGCGCAGACACUCGAGAAAAUACAAAUAAACAAUUGUCUAUAUAAGAAACACAAAAUAUACUUAACAAUACAAAAAAUACACAAUAAAUAACAUCCUUUUAUUUUUACACAUCAUUUUAUUUACUUACCAAUACAAAAAUCAAAGAAAAUAAAAAAUAAAUAAUGUCGACAAAAUAACAAAACCACAACACUGGACCUAUCAAAAUGGCGGACUGUGACAGCUACCAAAACACAGUCUGGACACACACAAACACGCACACACCAGCACACACGCACCGCCCACACCUGCCGCCGCCACACAAGCACGAGGACCUCCACACCUGUGACUGAAGGAGGAAAAACAGCUUGUGAAGAUAUUGAAAGAGAGAAGAGGAAGAGGAAGACAAGGAAGAGAGAGAGGAAAGGAGGAGGAAGACAAGGAAGAGAGGAAGAGGAAGAUUGUGAAGAU